AACAUUCAAAUUGUAAAUUACGAUAAAUGAGCGACGAGAAGAGGUCUUUCGAUUGAAAAUUAUAAAAAUCAAAUUUACCCGAAAUCUUCGUAGAUAAAAAAAAAAAAAAAAAACUAAUAAUCAUCCUGUUUACCAGACAAUAAUAAUAAUAGUGUAGAGAAUUCUGCACGCCGGUGCACACGAGUUAGUAGUUACCCCCUCACGUAAUAGCGAUGUACCUGCUGUUAAAUGCAAACGAAUAUUGCGCUUAAAAUUAGAGGCAAUACGAAAAUAUUUAUAUAUUCGAGUUGUAAGCUAUAAUUUUCAAUUCGUAAAUUUGUAGAACAAAUUAAGAUGAUUAAAACAUACGGUGCAUAUAAAUCGUUAGGAAAGUUGCACCGUAUCUAUCUUCUAUCUAUCUACAACCGACACCGGUGAAGAAAAAAACAUGUUUUAACAGAGCGCUAAUGAGUAAUAUGUUUGAUUAGGUUAAAUGAUAUUCGUUAAGACCUACAGUAUUGAUAUAUUAUAACUGGCAAUUGUUUCAGAAUAUAUAUAUUUUGUUUUUCACGUGCCCUAUCAUAACUCCACAUCAUUCCCACUCGUACUCAUCCUUAGGAUUUAUUUAUAUAUACCCUAAAGCCAUAUACUUGUUGUUAUACUAAGUUAUUUAUAAUGCUCUGCUUUAGUAAAAA